rnacentral:rRNA from 1 species
UACAGAGACCUCAAACGUUAUCCGGAUUUAUUGGGCGUAAAGCGCUAAAAGGUGGUUUAGAAAGUUAGGCAUUAAAGCCCGGGGCUCAACCUCGGAUCUAUGCUUAAAACUCCUAGACUAGAGGAUGGGAGAGGUUAGCGGAAUACCUAGUGUAGCAGUAAAAUGCGUUAAUAUUAGGUAGAACACCGAUGGCGAAGGCAGCUAACUGGAACAUUCCUGACACUAAAUAGCGAAAGCGUGGGGAGCGAAUGGG